UAGCCGUAAACGAUACUCGCUAGGUGUCGGCCACGGUGCGACCGUUGUCGGUGCCGUAGGGAAGCCGUGAAGCGAGCCACCUGGGAAGUACGGCCGCAAGGCUGAAACUUAAAGGAAUUGGCGGGGAGCACCACAACGGGUGGAGCCUGCGGUUUAAUUGGACUCAACGCCGGGAAGCUCACCGGAUAAGACAGCGGAAUGAUUGCCGGGCUGAAGACCCUGCAUGACCAGCUGAGAGGUGGUGCAUGGCGUAGUCGUGU
rnacentral:rRNA from 1 species